rnacentral:rRNA from 1 species
AGAGUUUGAUCAUGGCUCAGAACGAACGCUGGCGGCGUGCCUAAGACAUGCAAGUCGUGCGGGAAAGGGGCUUCGGCCCUGAGUACAGCGGCAUCCGGGUGAGUAACGCGUGGGUAACCUGCCUCGCAGUCCGGGAUAACCUGGGGAAACCUGGGCUAAUACCGGAUAAGCCCACGAGAUCUUCGGAUCUUGCGGGAAAAGGUGGCCUCUGCUUGCAAGCUACCGCUACGAGAUGGGCCCGCGUCCCAUUAGCUAGUUGGCGAGGUAACGGCUCACCAAGGCUACGAUGGGUAGCUGGUCUGAGAGGACGAUCAGCCACACUGGGACUGAGACACGGCCCAGACUCCUACGGGAGGCAGCAGUCGGGAAUCUUGGGCAAUGGGCGCAAGCCUGACCCAGCGACGCCGCGUGAGGGAUGAAGGCCUUCGGGUCGUAAACCUCUGUCGGGAGGGAAGAACGGCCGUGGGUUGAACAAUCCCGCGGUCUGACGGACCUCCUAAGGAAGCGCCGGCUAACUCGUGCCAGCAGCCGCGGUAAUAC